GAGGCCCCGGGGUGACCUUGAGCUGUAUCCACCCCAGGUUUCCCCCAGCAUGACAGAGAUCAAAACUGUCCACACCAUGUUUAUCAGACCUCUCAGCCUUGAAGGACCUCCUGAGAUGAACGUGCCCUGGGAGCAGAGGAAGACAUAAGGGUCCUGCUUGUGGUGGUCAGAGGGAAGAGAACCCCCCCCCGCAGGACCUCGUGGUGGACAGUGGACUUUUCUCCAGCGCCAGUGUUUCAGGGGCCUGAAAGAUGUGUGCACACAGAGUGGAGCCCAAGGGGAUGAGUGCAAAAGGCAGCGAGGAACUUCCCCUGUGGCAGAGCAGAGGUCUGGGGAGCCUCGGCACCUCAGGAGUCCCAGGGUCUCAGGUGCAGCACUGGCGAUGGGUAACGGGAGGUGGCAUUGGAGGUUACAGUGUUGUGUUCACAGACACCUCAGCCACACCUGGAGGCUGACUGUGGACCUCACACGCUCGCCAUGGCAACAAGAUGAAGCUGUUGGCCUCACCGAUGAAGC
rnacentral:lncRNA from 1 species